UACGGGGGGGAGCAAGCGUUGUUCGGAUUUACUGGGCGUAAAGGGCGCGUAGGCGGUCAGCACAAGUCAGUUGUGAAAUCUCCGGGCUUAACUCGGAAAGGUCAACUGAUACUGUGCGACUAGAGUGCAGAAGGGGCAACUGGAAUUCUCGGUGUAGCGGUGAAAUGCGUAGAUAUCGAGAGGAACACCUGCGGCGAAGGCGGGUUGCUGGGCUGACACUGACGCUGAGGCGCGAAAGCCAGGGAGCGAACGGG
rnacentral:rRNA from 1 species